CCGCGUGAGUGAUGAAAGUUUUCNGAUCGUAAAACUCUUUCCUCAAGGAAGAUAAUGACGGUACUUGAAGAGGAAGCCCCGGUAAUUACGUGCCAGCAGCCGCGGUAAUACUUAGGGGGCUAGCGUUAUCCGGAUUUACUGGGCGUAAAGGGUGCGUAGGCGGUCUUUCAAGUCAGAAGUUAAAUUNUACGGCUCAACCGUAGCCAGCUUUUGAAACUGGAAGACUUGAGUGCAGGAGAGGAGAGUAGAAUUCCUAGUGUAGCGGUGAAAUGCGUAGAUAUUAGGAGGAAUACCAGUAGCGAAGGCGGCUCUCUGGACUGUAACUGACGCUGAGGCACGAAAGCGUGGGGAGCGAACAGGAUUAGAUACCCUGGUAGUCCACGCCGUAAACGAUGAGUACUAGGUAUCGGGGGGUACCCCCCUCGGUGCCGC
rnacentral:rRNA from 1 species